GAUGAUGGGAGACAGGACAGAGACAGCAAAGAUGAGAGCGGGGAAUUUUUUUACUCCCUCUGCCAUUUUUCUGAUGUCAGCGCCUUAGGGACCUCUUGUGGCUUUGUGAAUGAUGACUGUCUCUGAAAAGCAAAGGUGCAAGUUAGUGUGACAUUGCUGUUGUAGUACCACAAAACCUUGUAAGGAGAAGAUUGGGGUGGACAAAGCUGCUUUCAUCUCAUCUCCAAUCAGCUUUUCUCAAGAGGGAAAGCCUGAAGUGUUGCCAGGUUACCAGCCAAUCUGACCAAUGACAUGUCACUUGACCCUUCUCUCGGCCAAUGCCCUGCCUCCAACAACCGGCUGGGCCCCAGCUGGCCAAUUAGCUUGCCUCUUAGUGUGGAGCUCGGCCAAUGAAAAGCCCCGGGAGACUUCUGUUCAUCUGAACUCACAGAUGGGAGGACAGAGAGGGAGAGGGAAAGUGUGCGUGUGUGAGUGAGUGAGUGAGUGAAAGAGAGAGAGAGAGAGAGAGAGAGAGAGAGGGUGUGAGGGACUUGGCCUGAAUUCCCUAACACUAUUGAGACAUCUUCACUGAAGAGGUUGGCUAGUUUUGAGUUAGCAGCAAAUCUCUCCAUUAAAAGCGACCAAUGGGAGAAUUACAUUGCAAGUAGCAGAAGUAAAAUGGAAACCAAUCUGCAAACAUGACAGAUUUUAACAUGGCGGCUACCUAUUCUUGAUUUCUUAACACUGUAAGUUUCUGCAAAACCCUUUUAUCGUACAUGUUUUAUAAUCUUAUGAUCACAACGUAGUUUCUGUCCAGCUAUAACUAGGCUCCACUGUAGAGUUUUGAUUGUGACCCUUAAUAUGGAUGUGUUACACACAGCAGAGUUUCAGCUUCAGCUCAAAUUACUUUCUUUUCUUAAUCACUUUCUAUCUCUGCUUCACUUUAAAACUAAUAAAAAUCACUAAGGCAGGCCAACCUUUUACUGUCCAUUAGGCCCAAUUUAAAGAGGAGCACUCAAAAGUAAAGUUGGCAAACGGUGAAAAUUUCAGUAUUAAAUGGAAAGACCUAAAUGUUACUGGGUUGGAAAACUGUAUUGAGAAAAAAAAACACAAAAUACAGACCAGAGUGGAACUUGAAAAGCUUUCCUUGCCUCACUGGUUACACUGAUUUGGAGUGAAACCUCUCCCAGCAUUUUAGCAGUAUGUCUAUUUUUUAUCACAAAAAAACAUUAAGUGAAACUGACUUUCUUUCAGUCAGCAUUUUGGACAGCUGUAUUGAAAUGCCACACUUACAUAAGCUCCCCCUCUCUCAAUUUCUCAGCAUGUGACUUGAGUUUCUUCUAUUUCUGUACAACUCUUGCUGAAUCUUUCCCUGACACACACUCUUCCCCAUGUUUAAAGAUAACACUUUCUCUCUCAAUUGCAAUUUCAGUUUGCUUCAUUGGUGUGGCAUGAAAGCUCAUCUGUGCUGACUGGGAAAUAUAAGAGCAAAGUAAUAAAUAAAACAAAUGUGUGCGGAAAAAUGCAAAAGUUACAACAGAAAAGUUUAUCUCAUAUAAGUGGUGUGUUUUUAUGAAUGCAUUCAUUUCUAUGCAGAGUGCUGUGUUCUACAAAUAUGCAACAUGUGAGGUGUUAAAUAAACAAGUAAACACUA